CGAGUAGUCGCGCCGCAUCUCAGCCUGACGUCAAAAGACACCAUCGAUGACGUCCCGUCAUGGCCACAAGAUCCCCGCCCGCCGUUCCGAGCACCUCCAUCGUACCUCCCAACGAGCUUCAUGGUCCGGGCCUGCGCCACUUUGAUGAUGUGCAAGCGGAGAAGCUUCAUCUUGGAGCGGCUGUCCUGCAACAUCUGCUGAGCCGUGGAAAACAUUGGCGCAAUCCUGGGGACCAGCCAGUUCAGGACACACAAAGGAAGGUGUCUCAUGAAGUCAAGAUUUGCUUUCAGGUACAAUCCUUAAACUGGAAUUACCUCAUCCAAUAGCUUUUUCGUUGUGUUUGAUUUGUCAAUCAGGUCUUACGUUGCUAAGCUACAGGUAUCUUCUAACUGCCUUUCAGGUACCGUAUGAAAGUGUCAAUUUCCUUCCACUAUGUAUCUUUUACUCCCAUUUUAAAUCAAAAUCGGGUCUUGCGUAACUUUCAGGCGCUGUCUGAAAACAUUCUUGCGUUGUCGGUCAGUUCUCCAUACAAGUCUCGAUUUACGGAAGGCCGGAAAUCGUAACUUUUCUCAACUGAAUGUCUAAUCAUUGCAUCUAUCAAUCUGUCAACCGAUCAAGCUCUGCUGUGGCCUUCAGGGACAGUCUUAAAUGAUAGUUUUCCUCACGCAAAAUUGUUUGAUUACCUUUUUAUCCUUCCAACAAGACUUGUACUGCCAUUAGUGACAGUCCCAAAUCGUAGUUGACCGAAUCAGGAACAAUCCAAAAUCGUAACUUUGCUUGCAAUGGUUUCAUUUCAUCUCUCAAUCAAGUCUUUUAGCUCCUUUGGGAACUGUCUGAAAUCGUGAUUUUGCCCUUAAAUAAACACUGACACACAGACACACACACACACACAAAUGGACACAAAAUGUCAUACGUAAUAAGAAGAACGUGUGUAUGGAUAGCCCACCUCUUAGUGUUGUUGUUCUUGACUAAGAAUGUGUCAUCAUCCUCCGACAGAACAGUCCUGCCUCUCCACCUUCACUCUCCUUGAAAGCCUCCUCCUCCCCUUCCUCCUCCUCCUCCUCCUCUUCCACUUCCAUCCCGUCUGCCUCCUCGCAUCCCGCCGCAUCCGCUUCCUGCUGCAUCUGACAACACUGCCAAAGCUAAUCUGCUCCCCUUGAGGGAGAGGAGGAGGAGGAGGAGGGAGCGCAGGAGGAGGAGUGAGGAAGGGAGGGAGGAGUUCUGCAGGGUGCCAUCACUGAUCUGGGCUCGGUCGGAGUUCACGUGUUCACAUGCAGAUAGGCCAGCAAAUGAUGGGAUAACUCAUUAGCGACACCCUCUAAUGGCAGAGCAGCAACACAAAAAAAAC